rnacentral:lncRNA from 1 species
UUUCCUUUUUCGGUUUCUAGUUCCUUAUUCGGUUUCUAUUUCCUUAUUGGAUUUUCAUUUCCUUAUUCGAUUUCCAUUUCCUUAUUCAAUUUUCAUUUCCUUAUUCAGUUUCUUUUUCCUUUUUCAAUAUUCAUUUCCUUAUUUGGUUUCUAUUUCCUUAUUCAGUUUCUAUUUCCUUAUUGGAUUUUCAUUUCCUUAUUCGAUUUCCAUUUCCUUAUUCGAUUUUCAUUUCCUUAUUCGGUUUCUUUUUCCUUUUUCAAUAUUCAUUUCCUUUUUCGGUUUCUAUUUCCUUAUUUGGUUUCUAUUUCCUAAUUGGAUUUUCGUUUCCUUAUUUGAUUUAUUCAUUUCCUUAUUCGGUUUCUAUUUCCUUAUUCAGUUUCUAUUUCCUUAUUGGAUUUUCAUUUCCUUAUUCGAUUUCCAUUCCUUAUUCGAUUUUCAUUUCCUUAUUCGGUUUCUUUUCCUUUUUCAAUAUUCAUUUCCUUUUUCGGUUUCUAUUUCCUUAUUCGGUUUCUAUUUCCU